rnacentral:tRNA from 1 species
UAGCUCGUCAGGCUCAUAACCUGAAGGUCACAGGUUCAAAUCCUGUCCCCGCAA